UGCCGGCGGCGGAUCGUGCCGUCAAGGGCUUAGGCCGAGGGCGGCCAGCCUUCCCUCUCCGCGGCGUCUCGGUCUCGGUGCGCCGCCGCGGCCCAUGGGGAGAGUCGGCCUGGCGGGCCGGAAUAAUACAAUGAAAUGUCAUCUGCUCUUAAGAGAAGAAAGAGCUUCAUGAUCUGGGAAAGCAGAGGAUGUGGCUAUAACUGCACCCCCAGCAACAGAAGAGCAAGCGUAUCUGGAAAUCUGAAGAGGAAGGGUAAAAAACCACCUUGAAAUGUUUGCUGAUAUAACAGGUUCUUGACCACCCACAAGUUCAUUCAGGUAUUGCUGAUCAAUCUUAUCCAAAGCUGCUUUUAGAUCAUUCCUCAAUCCCUAAGAAAGGUGAAAAAUUAGACCAGUUUGUGACUGUUUAAGAAAAAUGAAAGCCUUAAGCUGGACCCUUAAGGACCAAAGAUCUAAAUGUAAGAGCUAAAAGUAUAAAUUCAGAAUAAAACAUAAGGGGAAAGCUUCAUGACAUUGGAUUUGGGAAUGAUUUCUUAUAUACAACACCACAAGCACAGGCAACAACUACAGCAAAAACAGGGACAGCACAAAGAGAAAACAUGCACGUCGGAAACAGCAUUCUUGCUACAGAAGAGUGACAUUAAAUGUAAUGGUUUCC